CUUCCUAUCUACAAUAACAGGAGGGGCCUAGGGAUCCCUCCCUACUCUCUUAAAUACCAUCAAUAAACAUUUGCUG